UACAGAGGUCCCAAGCGUUGUUCGGAUUUACUGGGCGUAAAGGGUGCGUAGGUGGCGAGGUAAGUUCGAUGUGAAAUCUCCGAGCUCAACUCGGAAAUGGCAUUGAAUACUAUCCCGCUUGAGGGUCGGAGGGGAGACUGGAAUUCUCGGUGUAGCAGUGAAAUGCGUAGAUAUCGAGAGGAACACCAGUGGCGAAGGCGAGUCUCUGGACGACUCCUGACACUGAGGCACGAAAGCUGGGGAGCAAACAGG
rnacentral:rRNA from 1 species